rnacentral:sRNA from 1 species
UAAACGGGAGCGAUGGCGGAUCAGGUUC